rnacentral:rRNA from 1 species
AAUAUUGGGCAAUGGAGGAAACUCUGACCCAGCGACGCCGCGUGAGGGAUGAAGGCCUUCGGGUUGUAAACCUCUUUCAGCAGGGAAUAAGCGAAAGUGAAGGUACCUGCAGAAGAAGCACCGGCUAACUAUGUGCCAGCAGCCGCGGUAAUACAUAGGGUGCAAGCGUUGUCCGGAAUUAUUGGGCGUAAAGAGCUCGUAGGUGGUCGAUCACGUCGGAUGUGAAAUUCUGAGGCUUAACCUCGGACCUGCAUUCGAUACGGGUUGACUAGAGUGUGGUAGGGGAGACUGGAAUUCCUGGUGUAGCGGUGGAAUGCGCAGAUAUCAGGAGGAACACCGAUGGCGAAGGCAGGUCUCUGGGCCAUUACUGACACUGAGGAGCGAAAGCGUGGGGAGCGAACAGGAUUAGAUACCCUGGUAG